AGGUAAACCUCAGAUUCAGCCCUCCAGGAAGCCCUAGAAAGGUGGCUGACCUGAGCUUUGGCAUUGAUGCUGUGAACAGCCGCUGGAGGACACGGGCUGGUACAAGUGUUUGGCAGGACUGCUGGAACUCUAAAAGUGUAAUUAAUUUUAAAAAUAUAGAAAACUUACACUGAGCUGGAAAGAGGAGAGAGAGAGGAGGAAAAGGCUGAAGUUGACACUACAAUUGCCAAUCUUUUUUACCAUGUUAACAUCCUCAAAUGCCUUAGGCCUAGCUUAACACACUUAAAAGCAAGACUGUUUUCCAGCUUGAAAGACCCUCCAAUGAUCUUUUAUCUAUGAAAAAGGAGGGAAGAAAGGAGGCCGGAAAAAGAACUUUGGCCAAGAGCAGCUGGAUAACUGUCUGAUUGUAUGGAAUAAAGCUUUUGAAUUGGGCAAGCUGAAUGUAGUCCUUAGCUGGCUGUGAGCUCGCAGAGGGGCUGUGUAUUCAGUGGCUUCUGUUUUCCAUGCUGGCCUGUGCUUAUCGGACCCCCAACUGACAUCUGUAUAGGGGCAGUGAAACUGAGCCCUGUCCAGCCCACGGUGGGGAGGGACAGGGAAUCAACAGUGAGAUUUUGAGAAAGAGCAGGAAUUGUCCCUGCUUAGCAGGCAGUUCUUUCCACCCUUUCCACUUUCCCUAUUAARACCAGGCUUGGUCAGUGGCAGCAACUCCCUGGUAACUACUCGUAAUGGGAGCAAAUGAGCUAUCCUGACCAUUGACCUUCCAGCCUUUUUAAGUUUUAUAUCUCACACGCUCUGGAAACCUGCAUGAGACCUGUGUGAUUGCUGAGCUCURUGUGUAAUAUUCAGUUCCUAUUUUUGUUCUCUUGAAGGCUUAAAGUGUAGUGCAUACUUARAAGUAUGCACCCAGAUGAAAUUACACCAAUGGUUGUACUGAUCAUAUGUCUUUUAACCUGAGACAAAUAU